AUGGAGCCCCAGCCGCCCACGUCCACGGAGGAGGAGGAGGCGGCGGGGUCGACGACCCCUCGGUUUAGGCUCGGGAAGCAGUCGUCCCUGGCGCCCAACCGCGGCGGCGGCGGUGCUGAAAACGGCGCUGAGGUGUCGGGAGAGGCCGCCGGCGUCGCCAGUUUCCAGAUGAUGUAUCUGGCCCACGAGGGCAACGCGGAGGGGAUACGCGAGCUCCUCGAUGCCGGCGCCGACCCCAACUUCCGCGACUCCGACGGCCGCACGGCGUUGCAUGUCUCCGCCUGCGAGGGCCACGCCGAGGUCGUCGAGCUGCUGCUCGACCGAGGCGCGGAGGCCGUUGUCGAGGACCAGUGGGGAAGCACGCCUUUGGCAGAUGCGAUGCAUUACCAGAAUCACGAUGUUAUCAAGAUCCUGGAGAAACAUGGCUCGAACCAUAAGGUUGCUCCUAUGCAUGUUAACAGUGAUCGUGAUGUUCCUGAAUACGAGAUUGACCCAAACGAACUUGACUUCACUAAUGGCAAAGAUUUAGCUAAGGGUACAUUUCGGAAAGCAACAUGGAGAGGCAUUAUGGUUGCUGUCAAGAAGCUGGAUGAUGAUGUACUUACCGACGAGAACAAAGUACAGGCAUUCAGAGAUGAGCUUGACGUUCUGCAACUAAUACGGCAUCCAAAUGUCGUUCAAUUUCUGGGUGCUGUAACACAAACCAACCCGAUGAUGAUUGUCAUGGAGUUUAUGCCGAAGGGUGAUUUGCGCAAACACUUAAGUAAGAAAGGAGCUCUGGAACCUUUGUAUGCAGUUAAAUUAGCUCUUGAUAUUGCAAGAGGAAUGAGUUACUUACAUGAGCAUAAACCUCAAGGUAUCAUCCACCGUGACCUUGAGCCUUCAAACAUAUUGAGGGAUGAUACUGGGCAUCUGAAGGUGGCAGAUUUUGAUUUGUGUAAGAUGCUAAAAUGGAGAAGAAAAGUCAGAGAGGACAAACCAGUUACUUCUCCUGGCAAUGCAUGUAGGUAUGUAGCUCCAGAAGUCCUGCGUAAAGAGGAGUAUGAUAAUAAAGUUGAUGUCUUCUCGUUCGCCUUGAUACUCCAGGAGAUGAUUGAAGGAUGUCUCCCUUUUCAUGAUAAGAAGAUUGAUGAAAUUGAGAAGGCCCAUAGUUCUAAAGAAAGGCCACCAUUUAGAGCUCCUCCAAAGCAUUAUGCCUACGGGUUAAGAGAGUUGAUUGAAAAAUGCUGGAGUGAAAAUCCUGCUGAUAGGCCCAACUUUAGAGUGGUCAUUGAUCGGUUGUCUGCCAUCCAAAUCGAACUAGCUCGCAGAAACCGUUGGAAGGUCAGACCUCUCAAGUGUUUCCUGAGCUUCGAAGGUUUGCGGAAGAAGGAUCGCAAUGAGGGCAGCACCACCCGCUCGUCACGCUCAUCGCGAUAA
rnacentral:rRNA from 1 species